UAAGGAGCCACAGGAUCAUCAGUCUUCGCCAGUCCGUUGCCCCUGAUGGAAUCCAGUACCACGAGUGGUCGCCAGAAUCAGUUUCCAGCCGGUCUCGCCAAUCUGUCCUCUCCUGCGGACCAAGUAUCCCAUCCUUCACCAACAUCUGCCUACGGAGAAAUCCACCAGUGACGCCGCUAACUUCUGCCUCUAGUUUGGAACCGACAUCCAGUCCUGCUCACGCUCUGUUUCCUGCUCCACGUAUUAAACCUCUUACCUGCCA